rnacentral:rRNA from 1 species
AGAGUUUGAUCCUGGCUCAGGAUGAACGCUAGCGACAGGCUUAACACAUGCAAGUCGAGGGGCAGCGGGGGAGUAGCAAUACUCCCGCCGGCGACCGGCGCACGGGUGAGUAACACGUAUGAAACCUGCCCGUAGCAGGGGGAUAAGCGGAAGAAAUUCCGUCUAAUACCGCGUAACAACCCUUGGAGGCAUCUCCUCGGGUUUAAAGGGAGCGAUUCCGGCUACGGAUGGUCAUGCGUCGCAUUAGCUUGUUGGCGGGGUAACGGCCCACCAAGGCGACGAUGCGUAGGGGUUCUGAGAGGAAGGUCCCCCACACUGGUACUGAGACACGGACCAGACUCCUACGGGAGGCAGCAGUGAGGAAUAUUGGUCAAUGGCCGCAGGGCUGAACCAGCCAAGUCGCGUGAGGGAUGACGGUCCUAUGGAUUGUAAACCUCUUUUGUCAGGGAGCAAAGGGCGUCACGUGUGGCGUUUUGCGAGUACCUGAAGAAAAAGCAUCGGCUAACUCCGUGCCAGCAGCCGCGGUAAUACGGAGGAUGCGAGCGUUAUCCGGAUUUAUUGGGUUUAAAGGGUGCGCAGGCGGAAUGUCAAGUCAGCGGUAAAAUUUCGGGGCUCAACCCCGUCGUGCCGUUGAAACUGGCGUUCUUGAGUGAGCGAGAAGUAUGCGGAAUGCGUGGUGUAGCGGUGAAAUGCAUAGAUAUCACGCAGAACUCCGAUUGCGAAGGCAGCAUACCGGCGCUCAACUGACGCUCAUGCACGAAAGCGUGGGUAUCGAACAGGAUUAGAUACCCUGGUAGUCCACGCAGUAAACGAUGAAUACUAACUGUCCGGGCAGAAUGAUGUCUGGGUGGUACAGCGAAAGCGUUAAGUAUUCCACCUGGGGAGUACGCCGGCAACGGUGAAACUCAAAGGAAUUGACGGGGGCCCGCACAAGCGGAGGAACAUGUGGUUUAAUUCGAUGAUACGCGAGGAACCUUACCCGGGCUCAAACGACGGAUGGAUGUUUCUGAAAGGAGGCAGUCCUACGGGACAUCCGUCGAGGUGCUGCAUGGUUGUCGUCAGCUCGUGCCGUGAGGUGUCGGCUUAAGUGCCAUAACGAGCGCAACCCCCAUCGCCAGUUACCAGCAAGUAAAGUUGGGGACUCUGGCGAGACUGCCGGCGCAAGCUGUGAGGAAGGCGGGGAUGACGUCAAAUCAGCACGGCCCUUACGUCCGGGGCGACACACGUGUUACAAUGGCAGGUACAGAGAGAUGCGAUGUGGCGACGCAGAGCGGAACUUCAAAGCCUGUCUCAGUUCGGAUUGGAGUCUGCAACCCGACUCCAUGAAGCUGGAUUCGCUAGUAAUCGCGCAUCAGCCACGGCGCGGUGAAUACGUUCCCGGGCCUUGCACACACCGCCCGUCA